rnacentral:lncRNA from 1 species
AGAGUUCGUCAGGGCCUCUCCCUCUUGAUUCAGGUUCAACCCCUAAAAUCAUUUUAGCACACAGACACUGCUAGUGAAUUAUACAAUACCCACGACCUCACACUCGUGUCUUAAACACGUACAAUAUAUUGCGCUACAAUUUAACACUGGUUCCUAAAUAGGAACCUACACUUUCUCUUUAACACUGGUUCCUAAAUAGGAACCUACACUUUCUCUUUAACACUGCGCAUUUACACUUUUCUCAAGAUAACACUGGUCGGGUUAUUGUACAAUUCACAUCUUACAACACAAAUAAUGUCACAUCAAGAGUUAAUCACACACUUAUUCACAACCAAAACUAAUUCACAAUUUCACAUCUCAUAAUGUCACAAUCCACCAUCACAUGUUUUCACGUAUUUCAACGUUCAACACCUAUUCUACUUUACACUUUUACUCAAUCUCAAUAAUAAUAUUAUAAUCUCAAGGCAACAUAUUAUUCCACAAUUCAUCACAUAUUUCAUUUAUAAGCACUGCUAAUGAAUUAUACAAUACCACGACCUCACACUCAUGUUUCAAGCAUGUUUAACACAAUUGCGCUACAAUUUAACACUGAUUCCUAACUAAGAACCUACACUUUCUCUUUAACACUGCGCAUAAACACUGGUCGGGUUAUUGUAUAAUUCAUAGCUCACGAUAUAAUUAAUGUAACAUCAAGUGUUAACACAUCCACUUAUUCACAAUCGAAUAUCAUGUCCACACUUUAACAUCUCAUAACAUCACAUCAACCAUCUCAUAAC